GUGGUAUAUAGAUACAUGACUGGUUUUAAAGGAAAAGCGUACAUUCUGCUACAGUGGCUUAAGUUUUUUACAUCGACAUCAUUAAUAGAGGUCAUAUUUCGCUGUUGAAGUGUUUUUUUCUAUUAAUAGUUGAACGUAUACGUUAUUAGGGCAGAGGUACCUAAAGUUCUUUUAGUUUUUCGCUUCUGGCCAAAGAAAUCACAGCAAAGCUAUAAUUUAUCUGUCCUCAUCUCUCUAAUGUAUGUGCUCCGAUGACCACUUGUUGAUUUCAUCUCUGAGGUCGUCAUAAUUCCUCCUAAAAUCUAAUUUAUGAACGGAGCCAUACCUACACCUUAGUUCACCGUUCAAAAAAAUAUUGCUAGAUCUCAAAAUAUACAACGCAGUAUAAUCUAGCGGCAACAAAGAACUGGAAAUCCUUCCUCAAAGUUAGACUGAUCAAUAAAUUAAACCAAACAUUAACCGUUUCUAUGAGUUAACCGAUACUCAAAACCUUUGCAAAACCCUUUUAAAAUCUUUAUACCGGGCCUUUUUUGUAAAGACCUAUCUCUACCACUGAAACUUUGAAAAGCUUAUUGUUCCAGUUAUCUUAACAACACGGUCUCCUUUUAUGGGAAACAUCAAAACACACACCUCAUAUUAGUAGCGAACAGCAGCCAAGAUUAAAGCACCAUAUUUUUAUUAACAUGCUAUUUCGAUUAUCAAAGUUUAUGGCUCUGACUCUCAUCCCCGAUUGCCCCAACUCGAAAUGAAAAUUUCGCUAAAAAACAAAAAAAAAGCUGUUGACUAUAUGGUAUAAAUGUGUUUAAAGAGAAUCCGAAACCUAAAUUUCUGGCAUGAAAUGCUAUAAAAACAUUGUGAUCAAAUGACAAACGUGACUGCCGAGCCAAGACAGACGGAAUUUCAAGCCACAGCGCUGUCAAAUUGGCUUUUAUGAUAUUUUCACUAAACACAAACGGAGACUGUGUCCCUAAACGCCAACUUUCGUGGGAGGGACGGCGGAGCUGUUUGGAAAUGGCUAUUUGGCAAAGGGUGAUAACGACAGGCGGGUGUAAGCUUCGAUUGUAGAAAACAAGCAGCAGCUGACGGCCGUGAAUCAUGCCAUCCAACGUAGCAGCGAGAAAUUUGGAAGAGUACGGGAAAUACAAACAUACGCUGGCAUAUGCUUUUGAAAGUGUCGAAAGUGGAGUAACCAUGAAUGAGAGUGAGAGUACGCGCAGCAGGGCCCAUUGAGAGAUAAAAAUAAUCAUUCGCAUGUGCAAAAUUAUUUAGAUGCCAACAAAAACAAAUGUUAGCAGCAGUUGCGGUAAAUACAUUAUAUAACACUUAUCAAUAAAAAUGCAAAUGUGCGCACACACCCACAUGCAAAUAUUCCAUGAAUGCGAAAUGUAAUGCAAUUGUGAUGUGAUGUGCGGCAAUAUCUAAUUCAAUUAAACAAUUAAACUGCAAUGUACAACGAAAAUAGCAAAAGCAAAGAAAAGAAAAAAGAAAGAAAUAAAUUCAAUUAACAACCAAAUCGAAAUGCAGCAAUUUGGAAAAAUUGUGGGUCGGAGAGACGGCAAGAAAUUGCAUUUAAGCGCUGGCAGGCCAAAUAAAAUGGCAAGAAAAUUGCAAUGUGUUAAACGAAAAUUAAUGGAAAAUAUACAAAUAUAUGAUCUACAUGCGGUAGGAGGUUUAACAGUUGGGAGAAAUAUGACUAUAAAAUAAUGCAUUUUUUUGUACCCAGUUUUCUAUUCAGAGACCGUCUUCGUGAAAGCUACAUACAUAUAUACAUAUGGUGGCUUGAUGUCUGAUAGAUUUCAAAUCACGAUAUUUAAAAUAUAAUCAACCUGGAUACGUUGCGUUUUGAAUAUACCGAGCUUUAAAAUUAA